rnacentral:rRNA from 1 species
UACGAAGGGGGCUAGCGUUGCUCGGAAUCACUGGGCGUAAAGCGCACGUAGGCGGAUCUUUAAGUCAGGGGUGAAUCCAAGGCUCAACCUUGGAACUGCCUUUGAUACUGGGGAUCUCGAGUCCGGAAGAGGUUGGUGGAACUGCGAGUGUAGAGGUGAAAUUCGUAGAUAUUCGCAAGAACACCAGUGGCGAAGGCGGCCAACUGGUCCGGAACUGACGCUGAGGUGCGAAAAGCGUGGGGGAGCAAACAGG